GAAGGAUGCAAGCGUUAUCCGGAUUCAUUGGGUUUAAAGGGAGCGUAGGUGGCCUUAUAAGUCAGUGGUGAAAUCUCUGGGCUUAACCCAGAAAUUGCCAUUGAUACUGUAGGGCUUGAGUACAGUUGCUGUGGGCGGAAUAUGACAUGUAGUGGUGAAAUACAUAGAGAUGUCAUAGAACACCGAUUGCGAAGGCAGCUCACAAAACUGUAACUGACACUGAGGCUCGAAAGUGCGGGGAUCAAACAGGAUUAGAUACCCUGGUAGUCCGCACUGUAAACGAUGAUUACUCGCUGCUAGAUGGCAACAUAUAGUGGCUUAGCGAAAGCGAUAAGUAAUCCACCUGGGGAGUACGCCGGCAACGGUG
rnacentral:rRNA from 1 species